rnacentral:rRNA from 1 species
GACAGAGGGUGCAAACGUUGUUCGGAAUUACUGGGCGUAAAGCGCGUGUAGGCGGCCCUGCAAGUCGGGUGUGAAAUCCCACGGCUCAACCGUGGAAGUGCACUCGAAACUGCAGGGCUAGAGUCCUGGAGAGGAAGGUGGAAUGCUUGGUGUAGAGGUGAAAUUCGUAGAUAUCAAGCGGGACACCGGUGGCGAAGGCGGCCUUCUGGGACAGUGACUGACGCUGAGACGCGAAAGCGUGGGGAGCAAACAGGG